CGGGAUUUUAUUGGCUGCAGACACACGCAGCAUCUUCUUGCGCUCCUCCUUGAGGUGGAUGGGCAGCUAGCUGGAGAUGACACAGGAUGAUGCGCAUCUUUCGCACGCUGGCUCCAAGAUCUCCGCUGCCAGAUGCAGCAACAAAGCUUCUUUGUACAGACAGCCCUGGACACACUUCCAGCAGCAAUUCUUCUUGCAGGAACUGGUGCAAGAACAGGAUUUAUUCGUGGCACAGGAGCAGUUGGUGUCCACUGGGAGUGGAGGCAGAAGAGAGACCAGAGCGGUGACUUCAACAGAAGUGGAGUAAAUAAAGAUGAUCACAGAACUUGGAAGCUGACGAAAUUAAUUUUGGAAAAGAGCUGGCUUGGAGCAUGACAGAAGAAUUCGAUGGAAAGAGUGCUGGGAGCCCAACUCAAGACUGAUGUGUGCUUGGCAGGCAGUCUACCCCCGAUCUCAGUCCUCCAGCCUUUCGGCCUUUUUUCCUUUUUGGAGACAGAAUUGCAUCAUAUGGCAUCCUACACAGUCCUGCCUCAGUCUCUGCAGUGCUGGGAUUGUAGGCCUAUGCCACCUAGCCUUUCUACAAUACAAACAAAUAUGAAAAGAAGAGGGACUUCUUUGGAAAGGAGUACAGGGACUAUGGAAGAGAUGAAAAGAUAAUAUUGUCAGAAAUUAUGCCGCUUUUGAAGAGAUAAACUGAACUCUUGAUUCUGUGAGGUUAUUAAAGAAUAUUAAUUUUCAAAUCACGGUAAAAUCUUGAUUCAGCAACACAUGAGGAUAAUCAUUGUGUCCAUGGAAACCUUGGGAAGCAGUUGAAAGCCUGGUCCCUCUUGCCUGGAGCAUUAACACAACGUGGCUGCAAAGUUAGUCCUUUCCCGCUACCAUCUCCUGAAUACUGGGACUAACUACACGUAUGCACGAACCUGCCCAUCUUUGCCUCUGUUAACAGCUGCCACUGUCUCUUCACGACAUGAUGGCUGACCUAGGUUGGAAGGAACAGAGCCAGUUGGCCAUGGACUGAAACUUUUGGAACUGAUUCUGAGGAGUUAAUGUUUCCAUGAAUAUCUCAGAAGGAGAUGUGGACAAACGAACAGUUAUCUCACUCCUGUAGGUUGGACUACAGUGAUCACUGAGUAGGAGCUUCGUCUUUAAAAUCUGGGGUGUGCUGUUAUGCAAUCUUCUUUCCCUGCCCAGUACUGGAUCUGUGAAAAGCUGAAUCAUGAAUCAGUGAGUGUGCGGAUUGGAACCCAAGUUGCUCUCUGGAUAGAACGAAAGGAGUCGUGCCCCAAGAAGAUGGAGAGGGAAGUUAUGAAAUGCUGUGACCAAAUAACAAAUGCUGAUGUUUGGGGAGAUAACUGUUUCCCAUAGGAAAUAGAGUGAAUGCGAUGUCUUUCUUUUGUGAGGGAUUCAUAGACCGCUUCUCAACGCUUGUUACAUGUUACUCCUUUUUUCGAGAUUUUUAUUUACCUAACUGGGAAAGAAACCAGAACAAGGUUUUCAUUGAAUUCUGAUACAGGUAUUUAAAGACUUACGGACAAGAUAUAGAAGAAGAAGUGGUAAUUAACUGAUUAAAGAAGUACAGUUUAUAUCCAGUAGACAGACAGGCUCCAGACAUCCUUAGUGCUGUCUUAGCAUCAAAGGUUAAUCUACCUAAUACUUGUCAUCCUGAAAUGCAUGGUGGAACAUCCAACAGACAAGAGCUACUUCAGGGAAGGACUAUGAUUUUUGUCGUGGAAGACAUUUAACACAGGGCAGCUCCUGUGCACUUACAUGAUAGAUAUUGCUCUUCCGGGGACUCUGAAUGCUCAUCCCACUUUCAGCUCACUAGGCACAUCGAACUAGAAAUUUUAUCAUCUCGUGAAUUAGUCCAAUACCUGAAGGAGCAAGAGAACCAACACCCAGUUGACAAGAAUAUGACCUGUUGAUUGAAGACCAUUAAGAAAGUAACUUGAUUCAGUUGGACUGGACUUUUUUAUUCUAUUGAAAAAGGAAUUUAUUUCCCCUCAGUGAACGUAACAUGAUCAACAUUUUGAAAGUUGUGAACAUGCAUAGUUCUAUAAUUUACAAAAUAAUUAUAAAAAUCUGAGUAUGGAUGCAGCAUAAUUUCAGAACAGAAUAGCCAUCAUACUUUUUAUAUAUCUUAAAUUCGAGUUUUCAAGAGUAUAUUUCUAUGUUAUAUCCUUUGAUUAGUACAAUAUAAAAUCUACAUCUAAUAUGUACUUCAGGUUUUAUUAGAUCAUGCCAUAUUACUGUACAAUUUGGACUUUUCCAUUUUUAUAUAAAAUGUAACAUGCAUUGUACAUUAAUAUUUAUAUAUCUUGUUUAUUUAUAUAUCUUUAGAAUUAAUUUCUGCCAAUUAUUUUCUUUAUUUGAAUACUUGGGGUAUCAUAAAGGUGCUGUUGAGGUAUUCUCAAUAUGCUUGUACAACUUCCUGCCUGUAGUUAAUAAAUGUGGAUAUUUCAUUAAACAAUUGAAAUAUAA
ensembl:lincRNA Ftx Ftx transcript, Xist regulator (non-protein coding)